rfam:Camelus ferus unplaced genomic scaffold scaffold1541, whole genome shotgun sequence.
GAGGGUAUAGCUCAAGUGGUAGAGCACGUGCUUAUCAUACACAAGAUCCUGGGUUCAAUCCCCAGUACUUCCU